rnacentral:lncRNA from 1 species
AAAAAGCAUUUAGAUCAACGUCAGCAUAAAGGAGGCUGGACUGCGAAACAGAACUGUGUGCAAAGGGAAUUUGUUGAAAUAAACAGGUUGCACCCUCUGGGACAGAGAAGCAUGGUCACCUGGGAAGGAGAGAAAAGGGAGCUUGGGUCACUCCAGUAUCAGCAGCCAGCUCAGAAAUGCAGACCUGCACAAAAUAAUACCCGGGCAGCUAUGAGAAUAUCUGCUGCAGCCAAGAGGUCACCCCGCCUUCUCUUUUCAUAUCCAGUGAAGACUGUCGCUCUCCGUGACACCAUGGCUGGAGGCAGUGGAUACACCGUGCCUGCUGCAUCUGAGGGCUGAAAUGCAAGAUUUUCAAAGAUGGAAUCUCGCUCUGUCACCCAGGCUGGAGUACAGUAGUGUGAUCUCGGCUCACCUGCAACCUCCGCCUCCUGGGUUCAAGUGAUUCUUCUGCCUCAGCCUCCUGAGUAGUUGGAACUACAGGUGUGCACCACCAUGCCCAGCUAAUUUUUGUAUUUUUAGUAGACACGGGGUUUCCCCACGUUGGCCAGUCUGGUCUCGAACUGUUGGCCAGGCUGGUCUCGAACUCCUGACCUCAUGAUCUGCCAGCCUUGGCCUCCCAAAAUGCUGGGAUUACAGGUGUGAGCCACUGCGCCCAGCCUAAACCAGUGUCAGUCUUAAGUGAAAAGCACUUGUAUGAUUGAGACUAAGUGAUUUGGGGAUUGGCGAGUAAGCCAAUAUGGGCAGAGUUGAUUGUGAAUAAACCAAUGCCCAAACAACACAUUUCCUCUAAUAUUUCUUCUACUCAAAGAGUUAUAUGCCCAACUUUAUCCUAAGGGCCUUUGUGAAAGUAAAGGUAAUGACUCAUCUGGUAGCUUAAUUUCCUAGUGGGUCAUCAUUUCAAGGGCCCCCAAGACCACCCUCAUGUUUAGUGAUUUGCUAGAAGGAUUCAAAGGACUCAGAAGUAAAUGUAUUCACCCUUACAGUUUGUGAGAGGACACAAAGCAAAACCAGCAAAAGCAAAAUCAGUUACAAAGCAAAAUCAGCACAUGGGGCAAAGCCCAAAGGAAACCAGAUAUAAGCUUCCAGGGUCCUCCCAGUAAAAUGGCACAGGAUGCACUUAACUCCUCCAGCAACAACAUGUGGCAACAUAUGCAAAGUGCUCUCUACUAGAGAAGCUCAUAAGAUUCAGAGCCUACGGUUUUUAUUGGGGACUGGUCAUAGAAACCCUCUGCCUAGCACAUAUAAAAUUUCAGACUUCCAGCAGGACAAUGGUAUUCAGCAUAAACCAUAUUGUUUGUACAGUCAAGGCACAGUAAACCAUCCUUAUCAAUUACAGAAUGGUAGGAGGACUCCUGGAAGCCAAGUUCCCAGAUGCUGGCCGUGGGUCAACCUUGCAAGUAGGCCUUUCUGAGGUCUGCUGUCUCGGGGCUGCUAUGUUAGCUCUUUUUCAUUACAGUCACAGAGAUCCCCCUCUGCAGCUUCUCCAUCACCACCACUGACCUUAGAAUUGUUCUGGAUUCGUUGUAUAAGUUGUGGUCUUGGUGACCCUAUAAAGGAUUGCAGGAUUUCUGGUUCUGUUCAGUUUUGCCAUCUAUACACAAGAAGUUCUCAGACACAUAUGUGUUGAACAAAUGAGCUAUGUUUAAAAAAAGGGGUACUUUAAAAACUGAAAAAAAUACUCCAAAAUAUUAAGAAAGGAUGAUGUUAUUACGUAUAAUUUUUAUUUCUAUUUGUAUAUGCUUUCCAAAUUUUCUAGAAUAAACACAUUCUAUUUUUAUUAUUAGAAAAUAAAUAAAACAAAUAUUAGUUUCCAAUAAAUCUGCUAAACGAUGCUCCUGUAGAUUAGACGCCCAAUCCGCAAGGUUGAGCCAAGAUCCACUGGACAACUUUGACCCCCCAGGGAUAUUUUUAGCCAUAGACAUUCUGAGUGAGGCCCACAUCACAAAGCAUUUGUUUCUUAGGACUCAGACUUAGUGUUACUCCUUUUCAUACAGUCUUCAUAGCUUAAGCUCAUGAAACACGGUGGUCAAUGCUUACAACAAAUUUGCCAACUUAUCAACUAAAAAUAAAAAAUUAGAAGACUCACUGAUUCUUCCUGGUUUCUAGUGGUAAAGGCUACAAACUACGUACGAGUGCCGCAAUCAACUUUUAACCAUCUGCACAGAUAGGAGAAAAUUUUUUAAUUAAAAAUUACUUUCCAAGCCUAUUGUCCUGGGGUUAAUAUUAAUAAUUAGUUUGCAGGAUGAGGCAUUCUAAAAAGAUUCUAGAUAGCAGUACAAAACUAUCCUGCAAAUUUUUAAAUCUGUCAUGAGCAAUGAAAUGGUUUACAUUGUUACCACUUAUUAUAACUUAUGAUAACUAAUCAAGAUUCGACAUUAAUAAAUAACAUAAAUACAUAAGUAAAAUUAUCAGUACCCAGCUACUCUAAAUAAUGUCAACUCUUUCUUUCUGGAUUUCUAGUCAAAUUCACUUUCUUCAUUGCUUCAAAUACUUUACUUCCAAAGAACAGUACAUCUGUACCCAAACAACAUUUUUCACAUACAGAAAAAAAUGCAUUAAAACUUAUAUAUCAAAUCUAGCAGUUAUAUUUCCAACAGAAAUGAGGACAUGCAUGCAAUAAAAAACAUAUACAGGCCGGGCGCAGUAGCUCAUGCCUGUAAUCCCAAUACUUUGGGAGGCCAAGGUGGGUGGAUUGCUUGAGCCCAGGAGUUCAAGACCAGCCUGGGCAAUUUAGUAAAACCCCAUUGCCACUAAAAAUACAAAAAAUUAGCUGGAUGUGGUGGUGCAUGCCUAUAAUCUCAGUUACUCAGGAGUCUGAGGCAUGAGAAUUGCUUGAACCUGGGAGGUGGAGGUUGCAGUGAGCUGAGAUCACACCACUGCACUCUAGCCUGAGCAACAGAAUGAGACUGUCUUGAAACAAACAAACAAAAAAAACACGUACAAAUAUGUUUAUGGAAGCUUUGUUCAUAAUAACCCCAAACUGGGUGCAACCCAAAUGUCCAUCAGCAGCAAAAUGGAUAUAUAAAAUUGUGCUUCGGGAGGCCGAGGCGGGCAGAUCAUGAGGAAAGGAGAUUGAAACCAUCUUGGCUAACACGGUGAAACCCCAUCUCUACCAAAAAUACAAAAAAUUAGCUGGGCAUGGUGGUAUGCGCCUGUAGUCCCAGCUACUCAGGAGGCUGAGGCAGGAGAAUCACUUGAACCCUGGAGGUGGAGGUUGCAGCGAGCCAAGAUCAUGCCACUGCAUUCCAGCCUGGGCAACAGAGCGAGACUCCGUCUCAAAAAAAAAAAAAAAAAAGUGCUAUAUUAAUAUAAUGGAAUACUACAUAAUGAUGAAAACAUAAGAAAUUUGGCAAGAACAUAAAUGAAACUUACAGAUACAAUGUUGAGUAAAUGAAGUCAGACAAAUAGAGACACACUGUAUAAUUCCAUUUAUACAAAGUAUAAAACUGGCAAAAGUAAUCUGCCAUAUUGGAAAUCAGGGUAGCAAUUACCCUUAGGAGAGAGAGUGACAGGAAGCAGGCACAGGAGGGGCUUCUGAGCUGCUCAUAAUGUUCUGUAGCUCAGUCUAGCUAUGGAACAUGAGUCAUCCAUUUGGAGAAAUUAUUUGCGACACAAACUUAAGAUUUCCACACAUUUUAAUAAGUAUGUUUUACUGAUAGAAAAAUAUUACCGUCUCCAAAAAAGAAGGUUUACAAAGAGCUUACACAUAAAAAGACAUCAUUUAUUAAAGUUCUUUUAGU